UGGUUCCUCAUUGCUGUACUAUUACACAUU
rnacentral:piRNA from 1 species